AUUUGAUUAGCAAAGAGGUUAAUGCUCAAGAUUUAGGAUUUUGUAUGGGCGGUUCGAGUCUGCCAUCUGAUU
rnacentral:tRNA from 1 species